rnacentral:rRNA from 1 species
AUUGAACGCUGGCGGCAGGCCUAACACAUGCAAGUCGAACGAGUGGCGGACGGGUGAGUAAUGUCUGGGAAACUGCCUGAUGGAGGGGGAUAACUACUGGAAACGGUAGCUAUACCGCAUACCAUCGGGUGUGCCCAGAUGGGAUUAGCUAGUAGGUGGGGUAAAGGCUCACCUAGGCGACGAUCCCUAACUGGGCAGAGAAGAUAACCAGCCACACUGGGACGGGGACACGUUCCAGACACCUACGGGAGGAAGCGAUAGAGAAUGUUGAACAGUGGGGGCAAGCCUGAUGCUACGAAGCCACGUGUAUAAAGAAGGCCUACGGGUUGUAAAGUACUUUCAGCGAGGAGACGUUACCCGCAGAAGAAGCACCGGCUAACGCCGUGCCAGCAGCCUCGGUAGAUC